rnacentral:pre_miRNA from 1 species
UUAACUCUAAUUUGUAUGGAGUUGUAACGUUGCCUACGUUUGCCGCUAGGGGCGCUGUUCCAACUGCAUACAUACGUUA